AUGCGCGUGGCAUUUGAUCAUCAGCAGCAAGACUUGGUUGAUGCAGCAUCAAAGUCUUUAGCAUAUAGACAAGAUAUUAUCGAGGAAAACAUCCGCCUGGCAUAUGCAUUGCAGACUGCACAUCAAGAGAGGUCAAUGUUCAUAUCCUCUUUGCUGCCUAUUCUGUCUGAAUAUGAGAACCUACGACCGUCUGUCCCCGAUGCUCAAUCCAUUGUUGGUAAUUUGAAGGUUCUGUUUAGGCAUCUGCAGGAGCAACUAAUGCUCACCGAGGAGAAAGUUAAGGAGUCACACUAUCAGAUUACCCCAUGGCAAAAUGAAUUGCCAAAUAAGACCGGCCUUCCUGUGCAGUCACCUAACAACCCUCUUGGAAAAGUAUCGUACAAAAGCGGCCUUGAUAUUGUGCCCCAGACGCCAUAUCCUCAGGUACAAUCUCCAAUGUCUUCCCCUUCCCCUGUUCAAGCCAGAGGUAAUUGGAAAAACCAUCAAGUAAUUCCAACUGAGGUUCCUACAAGAAUUAUGGAUCAAGAUUACGGAGGAAGGACCGCUCUUUCAAGCAGCAACCAAUUUAGGAAGGAUGUUCCUGCUCAAGCGUCUCAACGUGAUUCUGAUGCUCUGCAGUUUGGUUUCGUUGCUCAGAAGUCGAGCCUACCACUCGAGGGCCCUAGUAGAAGGUAUGUCUUGGAUGAUUCUGUGGGGGCUGAAGACCAACAUGUGCGCGAACCUUCUGCUCAGUGGGGUUCUGGAGACUCACCUAAUUUAGAAUCUGGCCUUGAGGAAGCAAACCCUUCAUAUCCCUAUCUUCCUACUGUUCCCGAGGAGCCUGGUUCUUCUUUUUCUGAAGCUGCAGAGGAUGAUCCAUUGCCAGGCAUAGAGGGUCUUCGAAUCACGGGUGAGCCUUUUCCCGGACGGGACCUUCAAGCAAGUGGGUUCUCCAUCAACGGAACCACAAGUUGUAAUUUUGAGUGGGUUCGUCAUUUGGAUGAUGGCUCCGUAAAAUUCAUAGAAGGAGCAAGGCAACCCACCUAUUUGGUUACUGCUGAUGAUGUUGAUAAUCUACUAGCCAUUGAAGUCCAACCCCUAGACGACAGAAAAAGAAAGGGUGACAUCGUAAAGGUUUAUGCUAACGAUCAAGCAAAAAUCACUUGCGACCCUCAAACAAAGGAACUCAUUAAGAAAACCCUUGAAGUUGGGCAUGUGUCUUAUCAAGUCCAACUGCCCCAGGUGAGAUUCUUAGACAUGUGGGAACCAGCUGUUUUGGCAAUAAAGAGGGAAGGUUACAGCAUUAAAUGUAACGGGCAGCGUGGUGUUGUUCUCACGGAGAAAUUUCAGAAAGCAACUGCUAUUAAUAUUCCAUACGGAUAUGAGCGUCAGACAGAGUUUUCGAUUGUGUCGGCUGAUGGUGACGAGUAUAAUCUCCAGCCAGCAGACAAUAACACGUCGCGGGAUACGAUUGUGCUGGUGCUAAGACUGUUCAGAUCAAUGGCCGUCGAGAAGCGGCGGGGGAGGAAGAAGGGCCUCUUCUUCAAGUAG
rnacentral:rRNA from 1 species